rnacentral:rRNA from 1 species
AGUGGCGGACGGGUGAGUAACACGUGAGAAUUUGCCUUUAGGAGGGGGAUAACAAUCGGAAACGAAUGCUAAUACCCCAUAUGCUUUUGAGUGAAAUGGAUUUAUCCGCCUAAAGAGAAGCUCGCGGCUGAUUAGCUUGUUGGUAAGGUAAGAGCUUACCAAGGCGACGAUCAGUAUCUGGUUUGAGAGGACGAUCAGACACACUGGAACUGAGACACGGUCCAGACUCCUACGGGAGGCAGCAGUGGGGAAUUUUCCGCAAUGGGCGAAAGCCUGACGGAGCAAUACCGCGUGAGGGAAGACUGCCUAUGGGUUGUAAACCUCUUUUUUCAGGGAGGAAUAAAUUGACGUGUACCUGAAGAAUAAGCAUCGGCUAACUCCGUGCCAGCAGCCGCGGUAAGACGGAGGAUGCAAGUGUUAUCCGGAAUCACUGGGCGUAAAGCGUCUGUAGGUGGUUUAAUAAGUCAACUGUUAAAUCUUGAGGCUCAACUUCAAAAUCGCAGUCGAAACUAUUAGACUAGAGUAUAGUAGAGGUAAAGGGAAUUUCCAGUGGAGCGGUGAAAUGCGUAGAUAUUGGAAAGAACACCAAUGGCGAAAGCACUUUACUGGGCUAUUACUAACACUCAGAGACGAAAGCUAGGGUAGCAAAUGGGAUUAGAUACCCCAGUAGUCCUAGCCGUAAACUAUGGAUACUAGAUGU